UAUAAAUACACGUGGGCUGCGGGCACAAAGGUGUGCUCGCUUCUGCGGCCGUGGGAAAGAUGAACACCGCUUUCUCCAGCCAAGACAGAAGCGCCGCAUGUUUGGUACUUUGAGGUAUUGUUCUGCUAAGGAAAUAAAGGCACAUUAGUCUGCUGAAGAAGCUGCUUGAAUCCAGAUUCACCUGAGGAAAAAUUGAUUCAUUUUUUAAGUCUCCUGGUUGGGGCUAAUUUGUCUGAAAAUUGACAAUGGGAAACAGACCAUCUGAAUAUAAUGGAUGUAACUGUUGCAUUUGUGGUGCGGGGCUUCCUCCUUGCACCUCAUUUGACAACUUUACCAA